CGAGGACCAGGAAGACGGACACGACGGCGGACAAAGGGAGGAUAGGGGAAUGGUGGCAAUAGCUUGGUCUCGGAAGUGGUGGGGUUCCACAAAAUCAAAUCAGAUGGGGAGUAGAGACCGUAGUGUCGAAUAGAUAAGCACAAAAUUCCGUGACAACUCCCAACGAUUGUUACAUCGGGAGGCUUAGGAUCUAAUGGGCUACCGAGACGAUAACGAUCAAUAGGAGGAGGAAAAGAAUUACGAUCAAAAGCAGCUGUUGGAGUAGUUUGUUGUAGGGUAUCAUAAGAGAUGCAAGAAAAU
rnacentral:lncRNA from 1 species